rnacentral:rRNA from 1 species
GAUGAACGCUGGCGGCGUGCCUAAUACAUGCAAGUCGAGCGAACGGACGAGAAGCUUGCUUUUCUGAUGUUAGCGGCGGACGGGCGAGUAACACGUGGAUAACCUACCUAUAAGACUGGGAUAACUUCGGGAAACCUGAGCUAAUACCGGAUAAUAUUUUGAACCGCAUGGUUCAAAAGUGAAAGACGGUCUUGCUGUCACUUAUAGAUGGAUCCGCGCUGCAUUAGCUAGUUGGUAAGGUAACGGCUUACCAAGGCAACGAUGCAUAGCCGACCUGAGAGGGUGAUCGGCCACACUGGAACUGAGACACGGUCCAGACUCCUACGGGAGGCAGCAGUAGGGAAUCUUCCGCAAUGGGCGAAAGCCUGACGGAGCAACGCCGCGUGAGUGAUGAAGGUCUUCGGAUCGUAAAACUCUGUUAUUAGGGAAGAACAUAUGUGUAAGUAACUGUGCACAUCUUGACGGUACCUAAUCAGAAAGCCACGGCUAACUACGUG